GAGACGGGCCAACCGGAGGUGGAGGAGCAGCGAGGGGCGACGCCUGGGACGGUGGUGGAGGAGGAGCGACGAGCGCGCCGGCCACUCGCCGGAGCACAUCAGCAUCUCGUCUCUCGUCAAUAUUACUUCCCCAUGUUAAGCUUGACACGGCCUGCCGAAGUUGCAAGUGGUGACUGGUGAGCAAGAGCAAAGUUGCUACCUCGCUUGAAGAGCUCUGACCUGUCACCGGGAGGCCUCAUCCAAAUUGCUACCCAUCAACUUCGUUGGACUCGCCAAGGCGGGGCACCCCUCUCGGAAAAUCUGAGGGUUAUUAGGUCAUUUGAGACCUGAAUUAUAAGCACAGUCAUGUAUUUGUGACAAUUAUUAGAAGGAAAUGGUCGAGAACUUGGAUGUGAGGGUGCCCUGGUGUGGGAGGCGCCGCGGCCUCGGCAGACCAGACGGACUCCAAUGUGGAAGGGAGCAAGAAGGAAGGGACAAUUUUUUUUUGGGUCGAUUGUUGCUGUUUUGGGUUGGUUACCACAUCAACUAGGUUGUGUUCUCCUUUAAGCUCUCGAUCUCUUGACGGCGCUGCUGCUCCUGGUAUUCCUAUCUUCUCGAUAUUUAUUAUUUUGUUUCUUACUUUGUAGGCUUAUUUGUGUUGCCUCAAACAUGAGACUGCUGAGAGUGUUCCUAGGCUGAAUAUGGCUACUAUUUGGGUGCCAGGUG